GCGGCAGGCCGCUUUAUCGCUGCCGGCAAUUAUAGUCGGCAGAGGAAAGUCCGGGCAACACAGGGCACCGUGUUUCCUAGCGGGAAGAUCUUUGAAAAAGGAUAGCAACGUAACAGAAAAUAACCACCUUGUUUUGACGUGUCAUUACGGGGAACGGGUGAAAAGGUGCGGUAAAAGCGCACCGGUGAUGAUGGCAACAUCGUCAGCCGUACGUCUCACGGGUUGCAAGGCCAUGUAUAUUCUGGUAGUUUGCCGCUGUUGCGGUACUGCGAAGCUGCCCGCUUUGCUUCUCUUCGCACAAGGAAAUCAGGAGGGGUAGGCUGCACGACUCCGACAGUGAUGCCGGAGCCAGAUAAAUGAUAAAGCUUCCCGGGUAACCGGGAUGACAGAACCCGGCUUACAGUUCUGCCAUUUUA
rnacentral:RNase_P_RNA from 1 species